rnacentral:rRNA from 1 species
CCUACGGGAGGCAGCAGUGAGGAAUAUUGGUCAAUGGGCGAGAGUCUGAACCAGCCAAGUAGCGUGAAGGAUGACUGCCCUAUGGGUUGUAAACUUCUUUUAUAUGGGAAUAAAGUGAUCCACGUGUGCGGUUUUGUAUGUACCAUAUGAAUAAGGAUCGGCUAACUCCGUGCCAGCAGCCGCGGUAAUACGGAGGAUCCGAGCGUUAUCCGGAUUUAUUGGGUUUAAAGGGAGCGUAGGUGGGUUGUUAAGUCAGUUGUGAAAGUUUGCGGCUCAACCGUAAAAUUGCAGUUGAAACUGGCAGGCUGGAGUACAGUAGAGGUGGGCGGAAUUCGUGGUGUAGCGGUGAAAUGCUUAGAUAUCACGAAGAACUCCGAUUGCGAAGGCAGCUCACUGGACUGCAACUGACACUGAGGCUCGAAAGUGUGGGUAUCAAACAGGAUUAGAUACCCCAGUAGUC